UACGGAGGGUGCAAGCGUUACCCGGAAUCACUGGGCGUAAAGGGCGUGUAGGCGGAUCAGCAAGUCUGGCUUUGAAGACCGGGGCUCAACCCCGGGCAUGGGCUGGAUACUGCUGGUCUGGACCUCUGGAGAGGGAACCGGAAUUCCUGGUGUAGCGGUGGAAUGCGUAGAUACCAGGAGGAACACCGAUGGCGAAGGCAGGUUCCUGGACACUGAAUGACGCUGAGGCGCGAAAGUGUGGGGAGCGAACCGG
rnacentral:rRNA from 1 species